rnacentral:rRNA from 1 species
GUCUAUGGCCAUACAACCCUGAACGUGCCUGAUCUCAUCUGAUCUCGGAAGCUAAGCAGGGUCGGGCCUGGUUAGUACUUGGAUAGGAAAGAGCUAGGAUAUAUAUUCA